UAUAUAUAUAUAUUCACGUGUAUAUAUAUUUUUUUUUUAGAUAAUUCGUUUAGCCUGUUCAUUGUUUAAUAAGCAUAUUAUUUUUUUUUUUUUUUUUAAUUUUGCUAUAGUUUUUAACCAUUUAAGCAAUCGCUUUUUUUUUUUUUUUUUUUAACCUAAUAUUUUUAGAAAUACUUUGCACACAAUAUGUUUCUUAUUUAUUCACUACUGUUCAUAAGAUUAAGCGCUUUUUAUUUUAGUUUCAUACAAUGUAUAUAUUAGGAAAUAAAAAAAAAUGUUAAAAAAAAAAAAUUUUCUUAUAUUUGUACAUAAUUAAUUUAUACAACAUAUUGACCAUAUAAUUAAUUCAUCAUUGUAAGAUAAUUUUUAUUGUGUAAGCUAAUUUUUAUUUUUUUUUGUAAUAAUAUAAAUAUAUAUAAUAAAUUUACCAAAGAUGGUUUAUAAUUUAAAUUUAAACUAUAUAAACAGUGUAGGUGAGAGUAUCCUUCAUUUUUUUAAUCCCAAUUUGAAAUAUGAACAAAGAAUUACUAGAAACUGGUUUUUAAUACAACCUAUACCCGUUUUUAUAAUAAGUUUUAUUUAUAUAACGUUUUUAAUUGUUUCAUAUAUAUAUAAAUUAUAAUAUAUCAAAUGAAAAUAAAAAAAAGCUGACUACGUCACAAAAACAAGUAGCUGAUGCUUCUAAAAAUGCUAAAAGUAACAAUGCUACAAAUAGCAAUGCUACAGGAUCAAUAUUACAACAAGUUGUGCCUAUAUAUAACUUGAUACAAUUUGCGUUAAGUUUUAUUAUUUUGGUGUUUGUUAUUUAUGAAGGCAAAAAACGGAACUUUUAUUUUUAUUACAAUGAAUUUGAUGCUUCAAGAAAGGAAAUUGCUUUUUGGUGUUGGAUAUUUUACUUAAAUAAAGUGAUCGAUUUUUUUGAUACCAUAUUAAUUGUAUUGAAAAAGAAAUGGAAUCAAUUUAGUCUUUUACAUACGUAUCAUCACUUUACAGUUUUCAUAAUUAUGUGGAUUAACACGGCAGUUGGAUAUGAUGGUGACAUUUCCUAUAUUAUUGGUGUAAAGUAAGGACAAAAAAAUAAAAAUAAAUAAAGCAAAUAAUAAAAUAAAAAU
rnacentral:lncRNA from 1 species